rnacentral:lncRNA from 1 species
AAAAACACAUUGUGAACCACUGCUGUAAAAAAUUCAAAAGAACAAAAGGCAAAUGCAAACUGGAAAAUGUACCAGCAAUAAGUUAACAGUAAGUAUCCCUAAAAUCAAAAGCAUGAUCAUUAAGAGGAGGGACUCACAGGCCCUGAAUUUGCUCCCCAGCUCCAUCCCUUACUAGCUGUGUGACCUGGGGCAGGCUACCGAACCUACCUGUAAAUAAUUUAGAAUAGUUAUUGGCAUCUAGUAAGGGUUCAAUGAGAAACUUU